AGGCAACUUCCUGGCCUGAACUCCACUCAAUACACCCACACACCCAGCCGGCUCUUUUUAGAUACUCAACAUUAGGUCUGGCCAAGAUUCAUCGCCGAGUGUGGACUGGAGGAGACGGAGGCCCUGUGAUGGAGAGCCCAGCAGAAAGGUAUUGAUUGGACUGAUUUAGGACCUGCUGCUCGGCUAAAUGCAAUUCUCUGCUGCGCUGAUACGUGUGUGGGAGGUCUGGCCAUCUCGGACUCCAUCGUAAAACUGCAUCAAUCAAUCAGUAUUUAAUAAGGUCCCUCCUUCAGCAAAGCACCCCCACAACAUGAUGCUUCCACCCCUAUGCUUCACGGUUGGGAUGGUGUUCUUCGGCUUGCAAGCCUCACCCAUUUU